AACGAACGCUGGCGGCAGGCUUAACACAUGCAAGUCGAGCGCCCCGCAAGGGGAGCGGCAGACGGGUGAGUAACGCGUGGGAAUCUACCCAUCUCUACGGAAUAACGCAUGGAAACGUGUGCUAAUACCGUAUACGUCCUUCGGGAGAAAGAUUUAUCGGAGAUGGAUGAGCCCGCGUUGGAUUAGCUAGUUGGUGGGGUAAAGGCCCACCAUGGCGACGAUCCAUAGCUGGUCUGAGAGGAUGAUCAGCCACACUGGGACUGAGACACGGCCCAGACUCCUACGGAAGGCAGCAGUGGGGAAUAUUGGACAAUGGGCGCAAGCCUGAUCCAGCCAUGCCGCGUGAGUGAUGAAGGCCCUAGGGUUGUAAAGCUCUUUCACCGGUGAAGAUAAUGACGGUAACCGGAGAAGAAGCCCCGGCUAACUUCGUGCCAGCCGCCGCCGUAACAC
rnacentral:rRNA from 1 species